CAAUCUAUUUGUGUAUGAUUGUCAGUCCAAAGAGGGAGAGAUGAAAAAGGGAAGGAGAGGAGAGAUUGCAAAGUCAGGAAGAACCAGUUUUAACUAUCAUAACCAAAUGAAAGAGACACAUUUCUUGAUCCAGCAGCCGUGUUUCACCCUCCCACCUCCUGUGAGUGAAACUGUGUCACAAAGUGAAAUGAACAGUCGCUGUCAAACGUCCUGACCUUUAAACUCCUCCUAAUCCCAUAUGAUCCACACGGCUGUUGCUCAGCGGUGUCCUGCGUCUUCAUGUGCGUCAUUGAAGCAGCUUGCGUUGGCUCUGUCUCCAUCCCCUCCCCUCCACCGCCUGGCGAGGAAUCUGCUUUCAGUCUCUGCGCUCCGUCUGGUCAGAUGUUGGGAUCUCCCUCCAGCUUGGUGAGGUCGGUGGCCGUGCCCAUGAACAUGCUGCGUCCUCGCUCCAGCCGGCUCUUCUUGUCCGUGAGCCGGAAAGCCUCCAUGAACUCGUCGAUGUCGAUGCUGCCGUCCUGGUUGCUGUCGAUGGUGACGGCCAGGUCAGAGAUGGCCUCGUCCGUGAUCUCCAUCUUUAGGUAGACGCUCAGCAGCUUCCACGUCUGCCGGAAGUCCUCCAUGGUGAUGAAGCCUGAGGAGGAGGAUGUUGGAGGUUAAACAAGCAGAGAUGCAGUAACAAUAAAGGAUGGUUCCUGAUAAAAACA